UACGGAGGGUGCAAGCGUUAUCCGGAUUUACUGGGUUUAAAGGGUGCGUAGGUGGAUAAGUAAGUCAGUGGUGAAAUCCCCGAGCUUAACUUGGGAACUGCCAUUGAUACUAUUGAUCUUGAAUACCGUGGAGGUCAGCGGAAUAUGUCAUGUAGCGGUGAAAUGCUUAGAUAUGACAUAGAACACCAAUUGCGAAGCAGCUGGCUACGCGAAUAUUGACACUGAUGCACGAAAGCGUGGGGAUCAAACAGGAGUUAG
rnacentral:rRNA from 1 species